GAGAUCCAGGAAGUCGCUUCUUUUUCUGGCAGAAGGCGGGGUUCUCCCCGUACGCUGCGGAGUCUCUGCGGGGUGUAGACCGGAAUCCUGCUGACGGGCAGAGUGGAUCAGGGAGGGAGGGUCGAGACACGGUGGCUGCAGGUCUGAGACAAGGCUGCUCCGAGGUAGUAGCUCUCUUGCCUGGAGGUGGCCAUUCAUUCCUGGAGUGCUGCUGAGGAGCGAGGGCCCCUCUGGGGUCUCUGGAAGUCGGUGCCCAGGCCUGAAGAAUAGCCCCCCCUUGCGCUUCCCUGGGCUGCGACCGGCCUUCUCAGAGCGAAGGGCGUCCUUCCACCCCGCGGCGCAGGUGACCGCUGCCAUGGCUUUUCCCCAUCGGCCAGACGCCCCUGAGCUGCCUGACUUCUCCAUGCUGAAGAGGCUGGCUCGAGACCAGCUCAUCUAUCUGCUGGAGCAGCUUCCUGGAAAAAAGGAUUUAUUCAUUGAGGCAGAUCUCAUGAGCCCUUUGGAUCGAAUUGCCAAUGUCUCCAUCCUGAAGGCACUCUUAUGUCCAUUGUCUUAUUGGAUUCUCUCUGUAGCAACACGAAGUAGACAAGCUAUACAAGGUGGAGAACAAGCCAGCCCUCAGCUCCAAUGAACAAUUGUGCUUCUUGGUCAGACCCCGCAUCAAGAAUAUGCGAUACAUUGCCAGUCUUGUCAAUGCUGACAAAUUGGCUGGCCGAACUCGCAAAUACAAAGUGAUCUUCAGCCCUCAAAAGUUUUAUGCGUGUGAGAUGGUGCUUGAGGAAGAGGGAAUCUAUGGAGAUGUGAGCUGUGAUGAAUGGGCCUUCUCUUUGCUGCCUCUUGAUGUGGAUCUGCUGAGCAUGGAACUACCAGAAUUUUUCAGGGAUUACUUUCUGGAAGGAGAUCAGCGUUGGAUCAACACUGUAGCUCAGGCCUUACACCUUCUCAGCACUCUCUAUGGACCCUUUCCAAACUGCUAUGGAAUUGGCAGGUGCGCCAAGAUGGCAUAUGAAUUGUGGAGGAACCUGGAGGAGGAGGAGGAUGGCGAAACCAAGGGCCGAAGGCCAGAGAUUGGACAUAUCUUUCUCUUGGACAGAGGUAAAUUAUGCCCAGCGUUCCUGUCAUCUUUCAGCCCUAGAAGACACGGGAAUAUGGAAAGCGUGGUGGCAAAGUUAAAAUCCUAAAGUUAGGGCUGUGAAUCCCAGCUUUGAGGAGCGUGGGUCCUUGGCCCUAUGGAAAGUAUCAAAGCUGCCCUUGGACAUGCUGUGUAGAAGGCUGGGUCAGGGAGAACCUUCAUGGUCAGGGAUCUCUGUUUCAGAUGUGGACUUUGUGACAGCACUUUGCUCCCAAGUGGUUUACGAGGGCCUAGUAGAUGACACCUUCCGCAUCAAGUGUGGUAAGUGCUAUGGUCCUCUGCAUCUUGGCAAGAUGGACGGGUCAUCAGCCUUGGCACCUCCCACAUGGGGCAGGGUUUGUGGGAGAGACCCAGACCCUGAAUGAACUGCUGGCUUCCAGAUAGUUUGAGGACCUUUAUGGCAGUUCAGGGAAUGGUAGGAGAAGUCCUCAUUGGAGAUCCUAAUAGCUGUCCCUCUGCUCUCAAAGGGAGUGUCGACUUUGGCCCAGAAGUCACAUCCUCUGACAAGAGCCUGAAGGUGCUACUCAAUGCCGAGGACAAGGUGUUUAAUGAGAUUCGGAAUGAGCACUUCUCCAAUGUCUUUGGCUUCUUGAGCCAGAA
rnacentral:sRNA from 1 species